rnacentral:rRNA from 1 species
CAACUUUCAACAACGGAUCUCUUGGCUCUAUCGAUGAAGAACGCAGCGAAAUGCGAUACGUAAUGUGAAUUGCAGAAUUCAGUGAAUCAUCGAAUCUUUGAACGCACCUUGCGCCCCUUGGCAUUCCGAGGGGCACACCCGUUUGAGUGUCGUGA